GACGAACGCUGGCGGCGUGCCUAAUACAUGCAAGUUGAGCGCUGAAGGUUGGUACUUGUACCAACUGGAUGAGCAGCGAACGGGUGAGUAACGCGUGGGGAAUCUGCCUUUGAGCGGGGGACAACAUUUGGAAACGAAUGCUAAUACCGCAUAAAAACUUUAAACACAAGUUUUAAGUUUGAAAGAUGCAAUUGCAUCACUCAAAGAUGAUCCCGCGUUGUAUUAGCUAGUUGGUGAGGUAAAGGCUCACCAAGGCGAUGAUACAUAGCCGACCUGAGAGGGUGAUCGGCCACAUUGGGACUGAGACACGGCCCAAACUCCUACGGGAGGCAGCAGUAGGGAAUCUUCGGCAAUGGACGAAAGUCUGACCGAGCAACGCCGCGUGAGUGAAGAAGGGUUUCGGAUCGUAAAACUCUGUUGGUAGAGAAGAACGUAGGUGAGAGUGGAAAGCUCAUCAAGUGACGGUAACUACCCAGAAAGGGACGGCUAACUACGUG
rnacentral:rRNA from 1 species